rnacentral:rRNA from 1 species
GCGGGAAAUCCACUCGCCUAACGAGUGGGCGUCCGGCGGAAACUACAGGUCUUGGGACCGGAAGACUUGAGGGGUACGUCUGGGGUAGGAGUGAAAUCCUGUAAUCCUGGACGGACCGCCGAUAGCGAAAGCACCUCAAGACGACGGAUCCGACAGUGAGGGACGAAAGCUAGGGUCUCGAACCGGAUUAGAUACCCGGG